CGAACGGGUGAGUAAUACAUCGGAACGUGCCCAGUCGUGGGGGAUAGCCCGGCGAAAGCCGGAUUAAUACCGCAUACGACCUGAGGGUGAAAGCGGGGGACCUGCAAGGGCCUCGCGCGAUUGGAGCGGCCGAUGUCAGAUUAGGUUGUUGGUGGGGUAAAAGCCUACCAAGCCGACGAUCUGUAGCUGGUCUGAGAGGACGACCAGCCACACUGGGACUGAGACACGGCCCAG
rnacentral:rRNA from 1 species